rnacentral:sRNA from 1 species
CUACUAGAAUAGGUAGGAAAAAAAGUGC